GAUGAACGCUGGCGGCGUGCCUAAUACAUGCAAGUAGAACGCUGAAGCUUGGUGCUUGCACCGAGCGGAUGAGUUGCGAACGGGUGAGUAACGCGUAGGUAACCUGCCUGGUAGCGGGGGAUAACUAUUGGAAACGAUAGCUAAUACCGCAUGACAACAGUUAUUGCAUGAUAACUGUUUAAAAGGGGCAACUGCUCCACUACCAGAUGGACCUGCGUUGUAUUAGCUAGUUGGUGAGGUAACGGCUCACCAAGGCGACGAUACAUAGCCGACCUGAGAGGGUGAUCGGCCACACUGGGACUGAGACACGGCCCAGACUCCUACGGGAGGCAGCAGUAGGGAAUCUUCGGCAAUGGGGGCAACCCUGACCGAGCAACGCCGCGUGAGUGAAGAAGGUUUUCGGAUCGUAAAGCUCUGUUGUAAGUCAAGAACGAGUGUGAGAGUGGAAAGUUCACACUGUGACGGAGCUUACCAGAAA
rnacentral:rRNA from 1 species